UACGAAGGGGGCUAGCGUUGCUCGGAAUUACUGGGCGUAAAGCGCACGUAGGCGGAUCUUUAAGUCAGGGGUGAAAUCCCGAGGCUCAACCUCGGAACUGCCUUUGAUACUGGGAUCUCGAGUCCGGAGAGGUGAGUGGAACUGCGAGUGUAGAGGUGAAAUUCGUAGAUAUUCGCAAGAACACCAGUGGCGAAGGCGGCUCACUGGCCCGGAACUGACGCUGAGGUGCGAAGCGUGGGAGCAAACAGG
rnacentral:rRNA from 1 species